rnacentral:rRNA from 1 species
UGUAAGCGUAUACCAAAGUUGUUGCAGUUAAAACGCUCGUAGUCGGAAUUUGGCAGUUCCGGAUGUGUGCACGUCGUGUGCGCACUUCGCGGGGAUUGCUUUUGUGGUCUUGCGUAGGAUGAGGCACUUUUAUUAGUGAACGUCCUCACGCAACCACUUUUUACUGUGAGAAAAUCAGAGUGCUCAAAGCAGGCAUUUGCCGUGAAUGUAUUAGCAUGGAAUAAUAGAAUAGGACUUGGUACUAUUUUGUUGGUUUGUUGGGACUGAGUAAUGAUUAAGAGGGACAGUUGGGGGCAUUUGUAUUUCGGCGCUAGAGGUGAAAUUCUUAGAUUGCCGAAAGACAAACUGCUGCGAAAGCGUCUGCCAAGGAUGUUUUCAUUGA